rnacentral:lncRNA from 1 species
CCAUCACUUCUCAUCUAGAUUCCCAUUUUGGCUUUGUCAUCUUUCUCCCCACUACAUUCCAGCUAUGUAGUCCUUCAUAUAGUUUCUAGAACGUGCCAAGAUUUCUCUUCUAGAUCUUUGCAUUUGAAAUUCCCUUUGCUUAUAAUGCUCUUGCCUAGCUCUUCAUAUAUCUGGCUUGAGGGCAUCUCUUAAGAGAGGACUUCGACUUCACCAAUCUGAAACAGCACCAUGUCACCCCCCACCCACCCCACCAACCCUUAGACUUUCUAGCACACCAAUUUCUUUAUUACCUUCUUAGGAUUUAUCCCAAACUGUGAUCUUAUUUUCCUUGUUGCUCUCUCCCAGUAAAUUGUAAGUUCUGAGAGGGUGGACUCACAUCUUUCUUGUUCACCAGUAUACCUCCAGGAUCCAGCAAAGUGCCUUGCACAUAAUAGGUACUUACUGAGCAUGAGCAUGUGUAGAAGGAAGGAAUGUUACCCUUACAAAUUUAAAUCUAGGGUCAUGUCUUUUUCAUUUUCUAUUCAUCCCAAUACAGUUCUUUGCAAAUACUAGUAUAAAUGUCUUCUCAGGUGAAUUGCACUGACUUCCCUCAAUGCUUUGCAAUUUGCAAGCUGCCUUACCUUUCUCAAAUCAGCUUUUCUGAUCUCACUACAUAUAUUCUCCAAUCUUUUCCUCCCAUAGCUCAUCUAUAUCCUAGGCCCAAUGCCAAAUGUGUUGUUUCUCUUAGAGAUUUGUACACUGCAUAUAUAGAGCCGCAUCUAUAAGAUACCAAAUAAUAGGGUAAGUAAUUAUAGGUGCAUUCAGGCAUUUUAGGGAAGAAAAGCCAGCAGCUUAACAGAGCUGGCUAGUCAGCUCCAUCAGACAAUAGAUCAGGUAGACACGUCCAGACACAAACCCCUUGCUGCUUCCUGUACCUUCUUCUGCCUGGUAUCACUCUCUCCUCUUUGAGAGUGUUUGAGUCGGAUCCUCUCAGCCAAGUGGCAGAUGGAGAAGUUGUUUGCAAUAGAGAUGAGAAUAUUUUAUCAGACUUCCUACAAAUGGGAUCCGCUGAAUUUUAAUCUGCCAGCAAAGCACUAAUGAAAAGAGGAGGAAAAGUCUCAACAGGACAUCCUGUAAGGUCUCCUCAGGAAUCAGUGUGUUUUUGGUCAACAGUCAGUUGAUAGAUGAUAAACUUCCAAGGGCAACUCAGAGAGCCCUGAAACAGAUACUUCCCUGGUCUCUCCAGGCGUCCUGUGAAGGCCACAGGGCAGAAGGGAACCUGGGUCAGGAGUCAGGAAGUCUGUAUUCCAGACCUGGUUCUGGCCCUGACUCCCUAGGUCACCGCCUGUUGGUGAUGUCACUUUCCAGUCUCUCGGUUACUCCAUCUGUACAAUGGAAAGAAUAUAUCCUAUUCUUAGCAACUGAGUGUGAAGAUGCUUCAGAAAUGAAUAUGCCAUCCAGAGAUGAAGCAAAAAUUGUUUGUAAAACGAGUAUCUUUUGUUCUUUUCUCACUCAGACAACUCCCCAACAAGCUCUAGAUUAUAAUAGCCACUGAUAUUUAUUGAGCAGUUACUAUAUGCCAGGUAUGUGCAGAGCAAAUAUAUGUACACAAAGUAAACUUUGUUGCACAUUGCAUGAAUUGUCUCUUUUAACUGUUAUUAAACCCCAGGCAGAGAGAUAAUAAAAAGGGUACUAAGAUAUCUGGAAAUCAGCAUGUCUUAGUAACAGAUAGGCAAAAGUUUUCCUAUUUAAGUGUUGCCUAGGGGCUGACCAGCAGAUGCCUCUGGAAACCAAGGGUCAUGGCAGGAAGGGUCAUAUGCCUCAGGAAAUCUUCACAGGCAGAUUGAAAUAGGGAGCCACGCAGCCACGCUCAGAAGCACAUUGCUGCCACCUCUGAAGCACUUCUCCCUCACUUCCUCCAUCCCAAA